AGUCGUAACAAGGUCUCCGUUGGUGAACCAGCGGAGGGAUCAUUACCGAGUUUACAACUCCCAAACCCCUGUGAACAUACCUUAUGUUGCCUCGGCGGAUCAGCCCGCGCCCCGUAAAAAGGGACGGCCCGCCGCAGGAACCCUAAACUCUGUUUUUAGUGGAACUUCUGAGUAUAAAAAACAAAUAAAUCAAAACUUUCAACAACGGAUCUCUUGGUUCUGGCAUCGAUGAAGAACGCAGCAAAAUGCGAUAAGUAAUGUGAAUUGCAGAAUUCAGUGAAUCAUCGAAUCUUUGAACGCACAUUGCGCCCGCCAGUAUUCUGGCGGGCAUGCCUGUUCGAGCGUCAUUUCAACCCUCAAGCCCAGCUUGGUGUUGGGAGCUGCAGUCCUGCUGCACUCCCCAAAUACAUUGGCGGUCACGUCGAGCUUCCAUAGCGUAGUAAUUUACACAUCGUUACUGGUAAUCGUCGCGGCCACGCCGUUAAACCCCAACUUCUGAAUGUUGAC
rnacentral:rRNA from 1 species